UACGAAAGGGGCUAGCGUUGUUCGGAAUUACUGGGCGUAAAGCGCACGUAGGCGGCCUUGUAAGUUGGGGGUGAAAUCCCGGGGCUCAACUCCGGAACUGCCUCCAAUACUGGAAAGCUCGAGGAUGCGAGAGGAUAGUGGAAUUCCGAGUGUAGAGGUGAAAUUCGUAGAUAUUCGGAGGAACACCAGUGGCGAAGGCGACUGGCUGGCGCUUUUCUGACGCUGAGGUGCGAAAGCGUGGGGAGCAAACAGG
rnacentral:rRNA from 1 species